UAAGUGAAGAGUUUGAUCCUGGCUCAGAGUGAACGCUGGCGGUAGGCCUAACACAUGCAAGUCGAACGGCAGCACAGGAGAGCUUGCUCUCUGGGUGGCGAGUGGCGGACGGGUGAGGAAUACAUCGGAAUCUACUCUGUCGUGGGGGAUAACGUAGGGAAACUUACGCUAAUACCGCAUACGACCUACGGGUGAAAGCAGGGGACCUUCGGGCCUUGCGCGAUUGAAUGAGCCGAUGUCGGAUUAGCUAGUUGGCGGGGUAAAGGCCCACCAAGGCGACGAUCCGUAGCUGGUCUGAGAGGAUGAUCAGCC
rnacentral:rRNA from 1 species